GACGAACGCUGGCGGCGUGCUUAACACAUGCAAGUCGAACGGAAAGGCCCUGCUUUUGUGGGGUGCUCGAGUGGCGAACGGGUGAGUAACACGUGAGUAACCUGCCCUUGACUUUGGGAUAACUUCAGGAAACUGGGGCUAAUACCGGAUAGGAGCUCCUGCUGCAUGGUGGGGGUUGGAAAGUUUCGGCGGUUGGGGAUGGACUCGCGGCUUAUCAGCUUGUUGGUGGGGUAGUGGCUUACCAAGGCUUUGACGGGUAGCCGGCCUGAGAGGGUGACCGGCCACAUUGGGAAUGAGAUACGGCCCAGACUCCUAAGGGAGGCAGCAGUGGGGAAUAUUGGACAAUGGGCGGAAGCCUGAUGCAGGAACGCCGCGUGCGGGAUGACGGCCUUCGGGGUGUAAACCGCUUUCGCCUGGGACGAAGCGUGAGUGACGGUAAUGGGUAAAGAAGCACCGGCUAACUACGUG
rnacentral:rRNA from 1 species